UACAGAGGGGGCAAGCGUUGUUCGGAAUUACUGGGCGUAAAGGGCGCGUAGGCGGCCCUCUAAGUCAGACGUGAAAUCCCCGGGCUCAACCCGGGAACUGCGUCUGAUACUGGAGGGCUUGAAUCCGGGAGAGGGAUGCGGAAUUCCAGGUGUAGCGGUGAAAUGCGUAGAUAUCUGGAGGAACACCAGAGGCGAAGGCGGAUCGCUGGGCCAACACUGACGCUGAGACGCGAAAGCUAGGGUAGCAAACGGGAUUAGAUACCCUUGUAGU
rnacentral:rRNA from 1 species